CCAAUGAUUUAAUGAGCUCUACCUCAGAGG
rnacentral:piRNA from 1 species